rnacentral:hammerhead_ribozyme from 1 species
AUGCAGCUGACGAGUCCCAAAAUAGGAUGAAACGAGUGUUCUGGAU